AACGUAGGACGCGAGCGUUAUCCGGAGUUACUGGGCGUAAAGCGCGGGCAGGCGGUCUGACAAGUCUGAUGUGAAAUCUCCGGGCUCAACCGGGAGAGGCCAUUGGAAACUGACAGGCUGGAGGGCAGUAGAGGUAGGCGGAAUUCCGGGUGGAGUGGUGAAAUGCGUAGAGAUCCGGGAGGAACACCAGAGGCGAAGGCGGCCUACUGGGCUGCACCU
rnacentral:rRNA from 1 species